rnacentral:rRNA from 1 species
CAGCAGCCACGGUAAUACGGAGGGGGCUAGCGUUGUUCGGAAUUACUGGGCGUAAAGCGCACGUAGGCGGCUUGGUAAGUUAGAGGUGAAAGCCCGGAGCUCAACUCCGGAAUUGCCUUUAAGACUGCCGAGCUAGUAGGUGAGAGAGGUAAGUGGAAUUCCGAGUGUAGAGGUGAGAUUCGUAGAUAUUCGGAAGAACACCAGUGGCGAAGGCGGCUUACUGGCUCAUUCUAGACGCUGAGGUGCGAAAGCGUGGGGAGCAAACAGGAUUAGAUACCCGAGUAGUCCCUGUCUCUUAUAC